GCCCAGGGGGAGGAGCCAAGAAUUCCUACUUGGAUAUAAUCUGGGAUUUUGGGACACCAGAACAGCUUUUCCCUCAUUCCCAGAGGAGCAGCUUUCCUCCCCACUGCCUUCCCAGGGGAAGCCCAGGCCCAUCUCCACCACCCCUGGACUUUCAGAGCAAAAUCCACCCUUCUACCAGAUCCCUGCUUCAAUAAAAUCACAUUUGUCACCCAAAAAAAACCAAACUGCAGCCACCAUUUAAUGACACUGCUGCCACCACCCUGACCCACAGGUGUCAGGGCAGAUUCUGACUCUGUCAAUGUAUUUUUUUCACUAUUAUUACAUUUGUAUUUUUAGCUUUCCUGGUAAAGAACUGUUAUGCCUACUCCCAUCUUUGCCUGUGAGCCUUUUAAUUUCAAAAUUAUAAUAAUUCAGAAGGAGGGGGUUUACAUUUUCCAUUUCAGGGGAGGAUCCUGCCUUCCUUAGCAGACACCUGGCUUGUCAAACCAAGAGAAUUUCUUGCUAGGGGGUGACUUUUGGGCAGCCCCUCCAGGGGAAGACAAACUGACAGUCAACAACCUCUUCCAAGAGCAUCAAAACACGGGAAUUUCUAACUCUAACUUUAUUUUCUAUCCGAAUUCUCUGUACAAUUUUCUUUACAGCUCCUCCACAACAUCUUUUGUUGAUAGGGAGACACUUUCUAUCUCCCAGGACCCGUAUCUCUAAGAUCUUUAGGAGCAAUCUGUUCCAAAAACUCUGGUACAAGGGAAUGUUGCUGUGGGGCACCCCAGAGGUGGGUACAGCUCCAUCCUUCCUGGAGAACUCUCCCUUGGGAUCAGAGGAGGCCACACAGACCCAAAAAAUCUCUUCCCAAUAGAGAAAACCACCCUGGCCCAAAGGAUGUGCAAGCAGGUGAAAAUAACUAAUUAUGCUCUAUUUUAUUUGGGGGUUUUGUGUUUUAUGAGCUUUUUCCACUAGAGAAAAACAGGGAUAGAUUGUGGUGGGAUAUCCUGCAGCUCCUGAAGCAGCUGCUUUUGGUGUUUGGUGUGGGAUAUCCUACAGCUCCUGAAGCAGCUGCUUUUGGUGUUUGGUGUGGGAUAUCCUACAGCUCCCGAAGCAGCUGCUUUUGGUGUUUGGUGUGGGAUAUCCUACAGCUCCUGAAGCAGCUGCUUUUGGUGUUUGGUGUGGUAACAGCCCUGGUUUUCUCACCAUCCGGGACGUGCAGCACCAGCCAGCCCUGCCUGGAGCAGUAGUGAACCACGUGGCACAGGGUCAUGGUCUUCCCUGUUCCUCUCUCACCAUCUCCAACGAGGACUGUCAAGGAAAGUCUCUGAAAAAAACGUUUCAGUUCGUACUUGACUGUGAUUCCUCCAGAAAGGGGGUUCAGAAAGGGCACAAAGAGCUCGUCAAAGCAGACCCAGAAAGUUCUUUCCCUCUGUCCCCCACCCCACUGAGCAGAACUGAGGAGCCCCUGCCCUGUGUGCUGACCCUGCCACGAGUUAGAACAAAGUUAUCCAAGCUCUGAGCUCCCUGAAGUGCCUGCACCGAGCACAGACCACGGGGCACAACCACCUCCUGAAGACCUCAGCAGCUCAGGGUCACAACCACCCUCUGCCCUGCACAAAAUUCUCGUGUUUCUCUUCAUCCUACCCUCAAAUUCAAGGAUACAGAUCACAUAUCUGACAGCAGGGUGGGCAAAGUUGGAGCCCUUCAGGUAAGCCAGGAUCUCCAGCGCCGGCUUCCGCACCAUCACCCGCGCCUCGUUGAAGGUCUGGAUCUGAGACAGGACCAAACUGUCACCAAACUGCCACCCAGGGACACCUCCAGCCCUGCUCCAGCCCUGCCUGGAGGCUCCCAACACCCCCAGCUCUGCCCAGCAGCACCCACAGGGUUGGGCAAGCAGCACUUGAGAGGUGGGCAACUGCUGCUUGCCCUUGGUGAAAGGAUUUUCUCCGUGCCCAGGAAGGAUUUUUUGGGUCACCUGCUUUUCCUACAGCAGCUGCAGAGCAGCAGAGGGUGGUGGGUUGGUUUUGUUGCAGAUAUAAACUUAUUUCAUGAGACAGCCUGUUUCACACAGAAAUACAGCCACGUGCAAGAGGUUUUACAGAGAAUUCUGUGAGCAGAGAGAAGUUUGAUGAGAGGAUCCAUGUUUACACCUUAAAGAAUUUCCUAUCAAGGUUGACAACAUAGAAACCAAGAAAAAAAGAAGGAUAAAUAAGAUAAACCUGCAACUGCCUAUUCCAAUAUUCCUUUGUUUGUUUUUCCUGACCAAUGAUUAAAGUGUAAAUUUGUGAAUUUUGUAACAAUGUAGAUAAAGCAUGCAUGCUAGAAUAAAACCAGUUUGAAGCCUUCUGAAAA